AGAGUAGCCCCUGCUGGCCGCAACUAGAGAAAAGCCCUCGUGCAGCAAUGAAGACCCAACGCAGCCAAAAAUAAAUUAAAAAAAAAAAAAUUCAUUGAGCUAAUGACUUAACCAACUCUGGGUCAAACUACACUCAGACUUCUGGCUAUAUGAGAGAAUAAACACCCUUAUUGUUGCUGCUGUUUGAGUUAUAAAGCAUCACCAGUGAGAGGUUGAGGGAACAAAUGAAUGAAUGACUCUGACCACGAGCAUAAGAAAGCCAGCUCCCCUAGAAUGGAGUUAACGUCUUGUCCUGGAGACUUCAAAAACUGCUUACUGUUUUUAAGAUACACAAGGUGAUAAGACAACAAAGUCUUGAUUAUCUGGAAGUUAGCUUAUUAUGGUUUUCCAGAUAAACUGGGCUUUUAGGCAAAAGCUGCACUUUGCAAGGGAAAAGAAUCUCUUAUUAGGGCUUCAUUUAAAAACAAAGAAUAUUCUUAGAGAUGUUUCAGAGUCAAUACACAUUCAGUCCAAUCUCCUAAAUGUUAGCACGUGUAGUCAUAACUUGGAGACCUGUUAAAAAGCUGACUCCUGGGCCUCACCUGGGGAGAUUCUGAUUCAGUGGGAUGUGGUGGGGUCCUGGAAUCUGCAUUUUAGCCAGCAAUCAGAUGUGGAUGGUCUCAGACCACACUUCAAGAAACCCUAUUCUUUUUUUUUAAUAAAUUUAUUUAUUUUAUUUAUUUA